AACAAACGCUGGCGGCGUGCCUAAUACAUGCAAGUCGAACGGGGUAGCAAUACCUAGUGGCGCACGGGUGAGGAACGCGUGGAUAAUCUGCCUUAGAGUGGGGGAUAACUAGUCGAAGGAUUAGCUAAUACCGCAUAAGACCACAGGAGCUGCGGCUCUAGGGGUCAAAGGUUUUUCGCUCUAAGAUGAGUCCGCGUAAGAUUAGCUAGUUGGUGAGGUAACGGCUCACCAAGGCGACGAUCUUUAACUGGUCUGAGAGGAUGAUCAGUCACACUGGAACUGAGACACGGUCCAGACUCCUACGGGAGGCAGCAGUAGGGAAUAUUGCACAAUGGAGGAAACUCUGAUGCAGCGACGCCGCGUGAGUGAUGAAGGCCUUCGGGUCGUAAAGCUCUGUCGCAGGGGAAUAACACAAUGGAUGUACCCUGUAAGAAAGGAUCGGCUAACUUCGUGCCAGCAGCCGCAGUAACAC
rnacentral:rRNA from 1 species